rnacentral:rRNA from 1 species
CCUACGGGGGGCUGCAGUGGGGAAUAUUGCGCAAUGGGCGAAAGCCUGACGCAGCGACGCCGCGUGAGGGAUGAAGGUCUUCGGAUCGUAAACCUCUGUCAGCAGGGAAGAACGGUCACUGUGCUAAUCAGUAGUGAAUUGACGGUACCUGCAAAGGAAGCACCGGCUAACUCCGUGCCAGCAGCCGCGGUAAUACGGAGGGUGCGAGCGUUAAUCGGAAUUACUGGGCGUAAAGCGCUCGUAGGCGGUAUGUCAAGUCAAGGGUGAAAUCCCCGCGCUCAACGUGGGAACUGCCUUUGAAACUGGCAAACUGGGGUGUGUGAGAGGAUAGUGGAAUUCCAGGUGUAGGAGUGAAAUCCGUAGAUAUCUGGAGGAACAUCAGUGGCGAAGGCGACUAUCUGGCACAUAACUGACGCUGAGGAGCGAAGCGUGGGUAGCAAACAGGAUUAGAUACCCGAGUAGUC